ACAACGGAGAGUUUGAUCCUGGCUCAGGACUAACGCUGGCGGCGUGCCUAACACAUGCAAGUCAAGGAGAACGUUUCCUUCGGGGAACUAUUAAACUGGCGGACGGGUGAGUAAUGCAUAGGUAACCUGCCCUGGAGACUGGGAUAACUUCGCGAAAGCGAUGCUAAUACCGGAUAAUGCAGCGGACCCUAAGGGGUACAGUUGUUAAAGCGGGCUUCGGCUCGUACUUCAGGAUGGGCCUAUGUCCGAUUAGCUUGUUGGUGAGGUAAAAGCUCACCAAGGCUAUGAUCGGUAGCUGGUCUGAGAGGAUGAUCAGCCACACUGGGAUUGAGAUACGGCCCAGACUCCUACGGGAGGCAGCAGUGGGGAAUUUUGCGCAAUGGGGGAAACCCUGACGCAGCAACGCCGCGUGACCGAUGAAGCUU
rnacentral:rRNA from 1 species